rnacentral:tRNA from 1 species
UGGUGUAGCGGCUAGUACUCAGGACUUUGAAUCCUGCGACUCGAGUUCGAUUCUCGG